rnacentral:rRNA from 1 species
GUCCACGCCGUAAACGAUGAGCACUAGGUGUCGGGGUCGUAAGACUUCGGUGCCGCAGUUAACGCAAUAAGUGCUCCGCCUGGGGAGUACGUUCGCAAGAAUGAAACUCAAAGGAAUUGACGGGGACCCGCACAAGCAGCGGAGCAUGUGGUUUAAUUCGAAGCAACGCGAAGAACCUUACCAGGGCUUGACAUCCCUCUGACAUACCUGUAACGGGGUAUUUCUACGGACAGAGGAGACAGGUGGUGCAUGGUUGUCGU